rnacentral:rRNA from 1 species
UACGGAGGGUGCAAGCGUUGUUCGGAAUUACUGGGCGUAAAGGGCGUGUAGGCGGCGUGGUAUGUCAGAUGUGAAAGCCCUGGGCUUAACCCAGGAAGUGCAUUUGAAACUGCCAUACUUGAGUAUGGGAGAGGAGAGUGGAAUUCCCAGUGUAGAGGUGAAAUUCGUAGAUAUUGGGAGGAACACCCGUGGCGAAGGCGACUCUCUGGACCAAUACUGACGCUGAGGCGCGAAAGCGUGGGGAGCAAACAGG